GUCUAUGGCCAUACCACCCUGAAUGUGCCUGAUCGCACCUGAUCUCAGAAGCUAAGCAGGGUCUGGCCUGGUUAGUACUUGGAUGGGAGACCACCUGGAAAUAGCAGGUGCUGUAGGCU
rnacentral:rRNA from 1 species